UUUGCCAGAACCAUGCUCCUGGCCUUCUCCUUCAUGCUAUUUCACUAAGACCCGAGCUGCUAGACAUUUCCAUAACCAUUCUGCACUUUCCAGUCUGCUUCAUGUAAUAGAUCCUCGUGUAGCUUGGCAAUCAGCAGGGCAUCAAAUCAGUGCAGGGCGAUCAUUGUGUCCAGCAACAUGAUGGAAGAUGUGGAGAGAUGAUAUCAUUGUCUACAGGGAAAGGGUGGAGAUGGCAGUCUUGGGGCCUCCCUGAGGACUGUUCUCACUACGUGUCUGUUGGCUCUGGAUUCCCAGGAAUGAUCCCUGACGAUACCAGAGACUGAGAGAACAACCUGACAGGCAACGUCACUGAGAUGGUGAGAGGAGCCCAGCCCCAGAGAGCAGUGGAAGAGGGUCCUUCCUGCACCAUAACAUGAGAUUUACUUUCUAUGACUUAUGUCUUCCAUGUGUCUACUGAAGAGUCAUCAAGCCAAUAAGAUGGUGUCUGCUGUGGCUGUGAUUUGAGACUGAUGUGUCUCCUGGGAGCUUCCCAACUUGACCAAUGUCUUCCUCUUCAGCCUUUGAACAGUCAUUAGUAGAAGAUUUAGUCACACUGAUGUGAAUUAAGUUUAAACUAGUGGCCUUGAGUUCUGAGGUGCUCAUGUUAGUUUUCGGAAGAAGAAAGUUUCUGUCUGGGAUCCUGCCUGCCUUUGGAGUAAGACUCACAAG